UUAGACGAGUACAUUGUAACAAAAGGAAAAAAGAGAGUAAUUCUCAUAAUUAAUAAAUACUAUAUAUUGAUGUUAGGUUGAGAGGCCAUGAAAUAAACGAAAUGAAAGGCUAACCAUAGAAAUAACACCCCAUGAAGACUAGGUCAAACAUGUUUCAUUACAGAAAUAUGGGAGAUUUUGGAUAUAAAGUAAGGGUGGCUACAGAGAAAGCUAAGGAUAAGGCAUAUAAAGCCAAGAAAUGUAUUGUCAAACAUGGAGGCAAAGCUGUUGGUGCUUGUAAGAAUGGUUGGGCCAAACUCAAGAAAAGCAUUAAAGGAAAGAAUAGGAGAGUAGAAUAUUUAGGUGAUCGCCAUUAAAUCAAAUUGAAAUAUUAUUUGUGGUUAAAUUAUAUGAUUAUUCUUGAGGCUUGACCAUUUAUUGUCUUAUGUUAAGAUGGCUUUGUAAUAUUGGUUAUUAUGUUAUGCAACUAGCAUAUGUUGUUAUAUUACAUAAUGUUUCACCCCUAUAGAUUAA